rnacentral:lncRNA from 1 species
GUGCCUUCUCUUUCUGGGGCUCUACCGACUGCUGAGACUUCUCCUAAGCAACCUUUGUGAAGGCUCCCUCUUGUUUGUUUAUUUUGAUUCAAGUAUAUGUACAUAUUUGUAACUUAUCGGGGAUAUCAAUAAAUAAGCUUUCCUUCAUUUCAACGUAUUGUGUUAAAUACACCAAAGCCUUCUUCGCUAAGUUCUUUGAAUUUUCUUUUGUUGAAACUUGUAUGUUGAAGCUUUGUGAGUGGAGCAUGUAGGUUGAGGUAGUGUUCCCUUAAUUUCCCGAGUGAGGAAAACUUCUCGGUUGGAGACUUGAAAAAUCCAAGUCACUGAGUGGGAUCGGC